UGGCUACUGUGCCAGCUGGUGGAUAGCUCGGCUCGAGAGCCGAUGACGGACGUGCCAAGCUGCGAAAAGCCUCAGGGACCCGCAUGGAGGGAAAGAACUGAGGAUCUCCGAAUGGGAAUCCCCACGCAAUUGCCUCGCGCAAUGGGGAACGUUCCGAAUUGAAACAUCUUAGUAGGAACAGGAAAAGAAAGCAAUCCGCGAUGUCGUUAGUAACGGCGAGUGAACGCGAUACAGUCCAAACCGAAGCCUUCGGGCAAUGUGGUGUACGGACUACCCAUAACGGACCUGGAUCUUAUGUGAAGUCUCCUGGAACGGAGCGUGAUACAGGGUGAAAACCCCGUAACAUAAGAUUCAGAUCCCGGGGUUGUUCCAGAAUAGCGGGGGUUGGAUAUCCCUCGUGAAUUUCGCAGGCAUCAACUGCGAAGACUAAACACUCCUCGAGACCGAUAGCGAACAAGUAGCGUGAGCGAACGCUGAAAAGCACCCCGAAAAGGGCGGUGCAAUAGGGCUUGAAAUCAGUUGGCGAUAGAGCGACGUGGCAUACAAGGUCACUCGACGAAAGAACUGGGAGCGAUCCCGUAGUAUGACUCGAGUGAAGCCGAUGUUACGUCGUGCGUUUUGAAAAACGAACCAUGGAGUGCAUCUGACUGGCGAGUCUAAGGGGUGAACCCCCGGAGGCAUAGGGAAACCGAUACGGCCGCAGUCUUUGACCAGGGCCACCGUCUUCAAGGGCGGGGAGCCAACCGGAUGCGACCCGAAACCAAGUGAUCUACGCCGGAGCAGGGCGAAGCGUGGCGAAAGCUGCGUGGAGGCCCGUUAGAGUUGGUGUCCUACAAUACCCUCUCGUGACUCUGGUGUAGGGGUGAAAGGCCCAUCGAACUUGGCAACAGCUGGUUCCAACCGAAACAUGUCGAAGCAUGACCUCUGAUGAGAUAGUCUGUGAGGUAGAGCGACCGAUUGGGAAUCCGGACUCCGAGAGGAGUUCGCUUCCCUGUCAAACUCCGAACUUACAGACGUCGUAGACUCAGGGAGUCCGGUGUGCGGGGUAAGCUUGUGCACCGUGAGGGAGACAACCCAGAGCCAGGUUAAGGACCCAAAGUGUGGAUUAAGUGUGAUUGAAGAUUGUCUCGAGCCCUAAACAGCCGGGAGG
rnacentral:rRNA from 1 species